rnacentral:rRNA from 1 species
AGUGAACGCUGGCGGUAGGCCUAACACAUGCAAGUCGAACGGCAGCACAGUAAGAGCUUGCUCUUACGGGUGGCGAGUGGCGGGCGGGUGAGGAAUACAUCGGAAUCUACUUUUUCGUGGGGGAUAACGUAGGGAAACUUACGCUAAUACCGCAUACGACCUACGGGUGAAAGCAGUGGAGCUUCGGACCUUGCGCGAUUGAAUGAGCCGAUGUCGGAUUAGCUAGUUGGCGGGGUAAAGGCCCACCAAGGCGACGAUCCGUAGCUGGUCUGAGAGGAUGAUCAGCCACACUGGAACUGAGACACGGUCCAGACUCCUACGGGAGGCAGCAGUGGGGAAUAUUGGGCAAUGGGCGCAAGCCUGAUCCAGCCAUACCGCGUGGGUGAAGAAGGUCUUCGGGUUGUAAAGCCCUUUUGUUGGGAAAGAAAAGCAGCAGGUUAAUACCCCGCUGUUCUGACGGUACCCAAAGAAUAAGCACCGGCUAACUUCGUG